AUUAUACUUCCUCCGUCCAACAAAGGAUGUCUCAAUUUGGAUUAAAUUUGAAUUUAUUUAUACACUAAGUCAUGCCUAGAUAUAUUCAAAAUUUGACAAACUUAAGACAUUCUUUGUUGGACGGAGAGAGUAUAUA
rfam:Brachypodium distachyon strain Bd21 chromosome 1, whole genome shotgun sequence.